ACAGGGAUUGCCCUAGUAACGGCGAGUGAAGCGGCAACAGCUCAAAUUUGAAAUCUGGCGUCUUUGGCGUCCGAGUUGUAAUUUGCAGAGGGCGCUUUGGCAUUGGCAGCGGUCCAAGUUCCUUGGAACAGGACGUCACAGAGGGUGAGAAUCCCGUACGUGGUCGCUAGCCUUUACCGUGUAAAGCCCCUUCGACGAGUCGAGUUGUUUGGGAAUGCAGCUCUAAAUGGGAGGUAAAUUUCUUCUAAAGCUAAAUACUGGCCAGAGACCGAUAGCGCACAAGUAGAGUGAUCGAAAGAUGAAAAGCACUUUGGAAAGAGAGUUAAAAAGCACGUGAAAUUGUUGAAAGGGAAGCGCUUGCAGCCAGACUUGCCUGUAGUUGCUCAUCCGGGUUUUUACCCGGUGCACUCUUCUAUAGGCAGGCCAGCAUCAGUUUGGGCGGUUGGAUAAAGGUCUCUGUCAUGUACCUCUCUUCGGGGAGAACUUAUAGGGGAGACGACAUGCAACCAGCCUGGACUGAGGUCCGCGCAUCUGCUAGGAUGCUGGCGUAAUGGCUGUAAGCGGCCCGUCUUGAAACACGGACCAAGGAGUCUAACAUCUAUGCGAGUGUUUGGGUGUCAAGCCCGAGCGCGUAAUGAAAGUGAACGGAGGUGGGAACCUUUCGGGGUGCACCAUCGACCGAUCCUGAUGUCUUCGGAUGGAUUUGAGUAAGAGCAUAGCUGUUGGGACCCGAAAGAUGGUGAACUAUGCUUGAAUAGGGUGAAGCCAGAGGAAACUCUGGUGGAGGCUCGCAGCGGUUCUGACGUGCAAAUCGAUCGUCAAAUUUGGGCAUAGGGGCGAAAGACUAAUCGAACUAUCUAGUAGCUGGUUCCUGCCGAAGUUUCCCUCAGGAUAGCAGUAACGUUUUCAGUUUUA
rnacentral:rRNA from 1 species